CCUACGGGUGGCAGCAGUGGGGGAUAUUGCACAAUGGGGGAAACCCUGAUGCAGCGACGCCGCGUGGGUGAAGAAGUAUUUCGGUAUGUAAAGCCCUAUCAGCAGGGAAGAAAGAAGACGGUACCUGACUAAGAAGCCCCGGCUAACUACGUGCCAGCAGCCGCGGUAAUACGUAGGGGGCGAGCGUUAUCCGGAUACACUGGGUGUAAAGGGAGCGUAGACGGCCGUGCAAGCCAGGAGUGAAAGCCCGGGGCCCAACCCCGGGACGGCUCUUGGAACUGUGCGGCUGGAGUGCGGGAGGGGCAGGCGGAAUUCCUGGUGUAGCGGUGAAAUGCGUAGAUAUCAGGAGGAACACCGGCGGCGAAGGCGGCCUGCUGGACCGCGACUGACGUUGAGGCUCGAAAGCGUGGGGAGCGAACAGGAUUAGAUACCCGUGUAGUC
rnacentral:rRNA from 1 species